rnacentral:rRNA from 1 species
AACGAGGCGCUGGAGCUUGCUCCAGUUAGCCUAGUGGCGCACGGGUGAGUAACGCGUGGGAAACCUGCCUAGAAGUGAGGAAUAACAGUUGGAAACGACUGCUAAUACCGCAUACGCCCUGAGGGGGAAAGGCCGUGCUUUUUCGAAAGUAUGGCCGCUUUUAGAUGGUCCCGCGUCGGAUUAGCUUGUUGGUGAGGUAACGGCUCACCAAGGCGACGAUCCGUAGCUGGUCUGAGAGGACGGUCAGCCACACUGGGACUGAGACACGGCCCAGACUCC